ensembl:lncRNA
GGUGGGAGUUGUAGUUCCGCUGCGCGCCCGGGGGACCAAGCCUCGGGGCGCCAUGGCAAAGUCGGGCUGAGACAUUUUGGGCCGCCACACCCAGACGUGAUUCUCUACCCGCCUCCAGCCUGGACGUGUUUGAGGCCCGGACUCUAGGACUGCUCCAGCCCUUGGUCCGGGAUGCCCCGGCCUGGCCCUGAAGUCCCGCCCGCUGGUUUGGGGAGAACGUGGCGUCAGGUCUUCUCUCCCUCGUACUGUUUCUCGAAAAGGAGGAAAACAGCAAACCAAUGCUUAAUGAGAAAUGAAACACUUAUGAAUCUUAAAGAACAAGGAGAGAAAAAUUUGUCCGUGAACUUUGUGCUUUUUUAGACAGUAGUCAAUCUGGCUGGCCUGCGGCCUAGUGGUUAAGUUCAGCGUGCUCUGCUUUGGUGGCCCGGAUCCCAGUUAUGGACCUACACAACUCAUCAGCCAUGCUGUGGUGGUGACCCACAUACAAAACAGAGGAGGAUUGGCAUGGAUGUUAGCUCAAGGCUAAUCUUCCUCAAGCAAAAUAAGCAAAUUGGCAACAGAUGUCAGCUGAGGCUUAAUCUUCCUCAGGAAAGUAAAAUUAUUUGCAUGAAGGGUUCUGUCUGCACUCAGUAAUUUCAAUGAUUCUGCCUUUCUGGUGGUGAUGUUAACUUUGAUCACUUGGUUUAGGUGGUGUCUGCUGCUUUCUCCACUGUAGAGUUACUAUUUUUCUCCUUGUAAUUAAUAAAUAUUAUAUGGAGAGAUGCCUUGAUGUGUUACAAAUAUCCUGUUUCUCAUCGUAAUUUCACCUGCUAAUUUUAGCCAGAAGGCAUUGAUGGUUCUUGCCUGAAACAAUUGGUGUUUACCUGAUGCUAAGUAUUUUCCUCAUUUGUUCUGUAGUUAUUAUUUGGAAUUCUUCGGUAAAAAAGAGCUAUCCUUUCCCCCCAUUUAUGUCAGAUAGACUUAUGGAUAUUUAAGAAAAUUAUUAUCUUAAGCCGUAGGAAGUAUAUAUAGAGGUUGAGAGCGCAGACUCUGGAAUCAGAUGACCUGGAUUUAAUUAUUCUGUGUGCCAGUUGCGGGACUUUGUCAAGCUACGUAACUGCUCUGUGCCUUAGUUUCCUCAUUUCUAAGUGGAGAAAAUGACCCCCACCUUAGUUUGGUGUGAGAAUUAGGGGAGAUAAUACAUGUAGUCUUUAGGCUAGCUUUAAUUACUCUUUCUUAGCAAAUAUUUUGUACUGUGCUUAGUUUUACUAUUUAUAAGUUUCCCCACCCACAAAUUGAAUAUAAAAAAUAUUUGUCAUGUGCUUGCUUCCCUGAGAAAUUGUUAAAAUUCACAAAAUGAAUUUAAAAGUGCUUUGUGGUGUUAAGGAGAUGUAUAAGUUCUUAUUUCUGAAAUUAUAUAUGUAUAUUGCUAAGAUCCGUUUGGUGAUCAUGAUUUUGUUCUUGGGCUGUUCUUUGUGUUAGAAAUGUAGAUGACUAUAAAAUGUGAUAGAAUUAUUUUUUACAUUUUAGAUGUUUCAAGAGAACAGGCAAGCUACAUGAACUUUGAGUUUUUCAGUGUUCAGGCAGAGGGCGCCCUUGGACCACCAAGAAGUUAUCAUUGAAAGAAUACAGCAACAUCUACUCACUACGACUUAAUUGAGGAAUAAUAUUGGGAGUUAGACUUUUAUUUCCUGGUGAUGUAGUGAUUUCAACUCAGAGGCUAUAGAAUGAUUCAGUUCCUGGUCAGAGGAAUGCUCAAGUUUAAAGAGUACCAUGAUAGAAUGAAAAGAACACUGAAUUGAGAGCCAGGACUGUAACAACACAAACUAGAGAAGAUGACAUAAGGUACAAAAAAGCAAAUUGGCGCUGAACUAAUAUCUGUUGCCAGUCCUCUUCUAUUUUGUAUGCGGGAUGCCACCACAGCUUGACUUGAUGAGCAGUGUGUAGGUCUGCACCCAGGAUCCAAACCUGUGAACCCCGGGCCACUGAAGCAGAGUGUGCAAACUUAACCACUAUGCCACCAGGCCAGUCCUGAAUCUAAUAAUUCUUGAUGCUAUUAUUGAUCCCCGUGGCACCACUGGAUAAUUUUUUUUUUCUGCUGAGGAAGAUUAGCCCUGAGUUAACAUCUGUUGUCCAUCUUCCUGUUUUUUUUCGCUUGAGGAAGAUUAGCCCUGAGCUAAUGUGUGCCAGUCUGCCUCGACUUUGUAUGUGGGUUGUUGCCACAGCAUGCCUGACAAGUGGUGUAGGUCUCCGUGUAGGAUCUGAACCUGUGAACCUGGGCUGCUGAAGCAGAGAAUGCUGAACUUAACCACUAUGCCACGGGGCUGGCCCCUGGAUAACUUUCUGUUUAGAGACCUUGGCCACAAAUACUACAUAAACAUAGUGAUAUAUAAUUUAUCUAUUGUAGUACUGAGUUUUUUUCUAUCAACUUAAAGGCACAAAUUAAAGAACCAUUUUCACAAGUUAAUACAUCUUGUCACUGCUUCAUAUUUUAAACUCAUUUUUUCAACUUUGUGAGGAUGGGUUAUUUUAUAGACCAGAUUGUAAUAUUGGGUUGUUAUAAAUAGUAUUCUUUGCCACAUAUCCUUGACCUUCAGGUAAGCAGUGGAUGAGUUUAUUUGGUCAUUGCACGUCUAAUUUUGGUAAGGGUUUUGUGUUUUUAGCUCUUUGAAUGGGAUUAGGCAUCACAUAUAUGUGCAGAAAGAAACUAAACCUUUAAACAGCUCUGAAAUUUGGAAAAAUAUAGUUGUGUGAGAUUUUAUUUACUCAAAACAAUUUUUGUAUACAUUGUGUUAAAUCAAAAAGUGUAUUUGAAUCAUUGAUUAUGAAGAAAUGGGUGUCCAAUAUCAUCUGGAAAUGUUGUAACGAUCAUAACUCUUACUGAGCUCAUGAACCUAAAAUUAGAGGAUCUUAAGAAUCCUAUGAGUUGGAAGGGAAUGUAGAAAUUAUCUUGCCUGAUGUCAAAGUCUCUCUUCAACAUCUCUAGCACAAAGUCAUCCAUUAUCUGCUUGAAUAUGUCCAAAUAGGAGGGAACUCACUAAUUCACAAGAAGGCUGUUUCAUUUAUUUAAAGGAAGAUUAGCCCUGAGCUAACGUCUGCUGCCAAUGCUCCUCUUUUCGCUGAGGAAGACUGGCCCUGAGCUGACAUCCAUGCCCAUCUUCCUCUACUUUAUAUGUGGGAUGCCUGCCACAGCAUCGCCUGCCAAGCAAUGCCAUGUUCACACCCGGGAUCCGAACCGGCGAACCCUGGGCUGGAAUGUGCGAAUUUAACUGCUGUGCCACCAGGCUGGCCCCAGCUAUUCCAUUUUUGAAGAGUUCAAAUUGUUAGAGACCUAUUCCUUAUAUUAGAGCCAAAUCUGUCUCCCUCUAAUGUUUACCCUUUGGACUUAACCCUUUAAAAACUACAUGGAGUAAAUUUAAAGUAUCUUUCAUAUGAGUGGCAUCUCUUGUGUUCUCCCCACCAAGUCUUUUUUCUAGCUUUACACAGCCUAAGUUUCUUCAAUAUUCUUUAUGUGACAUGGUUCUUAAAACCUUCCUACGAAGUUACCUUGCUCUGAACUAAGUGAAGCUUAUCAGAGUAUCAUGUAGAGCAAUAGUCGUCAAACUUCUCUAUGCUGGAAUAGACUCACCUGGGGUGCUUGUUUCUUUCUUUCUUUUGUGAGGGAGAUUGGCCCUGAGCUAACAUUUGUUGCCAAUCUUCCUCUUUUUGCUUGAGAAAGAUACUCCCUGAGCUAAUAUCCAUGCCAAUCUUCUACUGUGUAUAUGGGAUGCUGCUGCAGCAUGGCUUAAUAAGUGGUGUGUGGGUUCAUACCUGGGAUCCAAACCUGCGAACCCUGGGCCAGCGAAGCAGACUGCAUAAACUUAACCACGAUGCUGCCAGGCCAGCCCCUGGGGUGCUUGUUAAAAUGGAGAUUCCCACAAGCCAGCCCCGAUGGUCUAGUGGUUAAAGUUCGGUGCUCUCCCCACUUCUGUGGCUGGGUUCGUUUCCUGGUCACAGAACCACAUCACUUGUCUGUCAGUUGUUGUGCUGUGGUGGUGGCUCACAUAGAAAAAGCAGUUAAAAAGAGUGCCUAAAAAGGACUGAAACUAAAUGUUUUCCUCAAAUGAUAUUAAAAAAGCCCUACAUGUUGAAAAGCGGUGUUUAACAGAAAUACUAUUUUAAUAGAACUGUCAAUACUGUUCAUUAGAUAAAAACCACAGAGCCAUUCCUGAUGGCCUAGUGGUUAAAGUUCCUUGCUCUGCUUCAGCAGCCCGGUUCAGUUCCAGUUGUGGGACCGCACCACCUGUCUGUCAGUUGCCAUGCUGUGGCAGACCCUCACACAGAAGACCUAGAAGGGCUUACAACUAGAAUCUACAAUGAUGUACUGGGGCUUUGGGGAGAAGAAAAAAGAGAGGAAGAUUGGCAAGAGAUGUGAGCUCAGGGUGAAUCCUUCCCUGCAAAAAAAAAAGAAAAAAGGCGAUUCCUGGACCUCCACCCCUGGAGAUUCUGACUUAAUAGAUCUUAAAGGGGCUCUGGGAGCUAUACUUUUAAUUUGUACCACCUGGUGAUUCUGAUGCACAAGGUCUCUGGACCUCCCUUUGAGAAAUACUGUUUCAAAAUGUAGUAUUAACAGAUCUCCGAAUUCCUUACCAAAAGGCCUCAGCUGGUGAGAAAGACAAAUGUGUAAAAUGACCCUUACAUGGCAGAGCAGGGUGCAGUGAGUGUGGGACCACAGGCUAGAGAGGGCAUGCUGAUCUUCAGCCCACUGGGUGAGGCCCAUCUUGGGAGUAGUCUGCCCUCAAGUGGGGGACUGGUUCUCUGUGCGGGAAUGAGUGUGAGGGGAGGGGAAAAGAAUAUAUACUGCCAACAAGUAACCAAAAAGAAUAAUGAUUUGCUUGUAUGGUAAAAAGAACACUUGCAAAUAGCUUUGGGUUAAAAGAAAAUCAAAACUGAAAUGAAAGACAAUACUGAGAACAUUAUAUAGCAAAACCUAUAGUAUACAGAAAGGAGUAUUAAAAAGAAAAUGUACAGCUUUAGAAAUGCACUUAGAAAACAUGAAAGAU